AAUUGUUCACAAUGGGCGCAAGCCUGAUGACGCAACGCCGCGUGGGGGAUGAAGGUCUUCGGAUUGUAAACCCCUGUCGAAUGGGACGAAAGACCCGGGAGCUAAUCAUCCCGGGAGUGACGGUACCGUUAAAGGAAGCCACGGCUAGCUCUGUGCCAGCAGCCGCGGUAAUACAGGGGUGGCAAGCGUUGUUCGGAAUUACUGGGCGUAAAGGGCGCGUAGGUGGCCGAGCAAGGUCGCGGUGAAAGCCCGGGGCUCAACCCCGGGUCGGCCGUGGCAACUACUUGGCUUGAGCACUGUAGGGGCGGGUGGAAUUCCGGGUGUAGCGGUGGAAUGCGUAGAGAUCCGGAAGAACACCGGUGGCGAAGGCGGCCCGCUGGGCAGGAAGACGGGCGCAAGUCCGUCGGCUGACACUGAGGCGCGACAGCGUGGGGAGCAAA
rnacentral:rRNA from 1 species